rnacentral:misc_RNA from 1 species
GAUGAAGAACGUAGCGAAAUGCGAUAAGUAACGUGAAUUGCAGAAUUCAGUGAAUCAUCGAAUCUUUGAACGCACCUUGCGCUCCUUGGUAUUCCGAGGAGCAUGCCUGUUUGAGUGUCAUUAAUAUAUCAACCUCUUCAGCUUAUGCUUGUUGAGUGUUGGAUGGUGGGGGUUUGCUGGUGUCUUAUGAAGUCAGCUCCUCUGAAAUGCAUUAGCGGAACAAUUUGUUGACCGUUCAUUGGUGUGAUAAAAAUAUCUACGCUAUUGACGUCAGUCAGUUCAGCUUCUAACAGUCCAUUGACUUGGACAAAUUUUUCAUUAAUGUGACCUCAAAUCAGGUAGGACUACCCGCUGAACUUAAGCAUAUCAAUAAGCGGAGGA